AUUGGCUGCACAUUAGUGGGCUUUCUUAAAUACCAGUUGAAUAAACCAUGUUUAAAUCUCAGCAGGGAGAACACAGCUCCUGGGGGUUUACAAUGAAAAGGCAUCUGGUGGGAGAAAGGGGGAAUUUCUAUGUUUGGGGAGGAGCGAGAGAGAGUACUUUAAAUUCCUAAUGGCCCUGCUGUUUAGGAGUCCUCGCUGCCAGGAGCAUGAAAGAGGUGCCUAACAGGGCUUCAGGAGCCCCCGCAAGUUCGUGGGCUGAUUGGCUUUGACCGAGAUGGCCUUAGGUCUUGGCCAUCCAUCUUGGAUUUCUACCGUAGUUCUCUCCGAUGCAUUUCUCCUCGUCGUUGAGGGCGUAUUUGCUGCAGGAGCCAUGGGCGGCAGGAUUACCGUGAUGCUCCCUUCCUCCAGGUCCCGGCUUUCCAGGCAGGAAGACCCAAGAGGACCCAGAAGGUGACGGCUCCAUCAGGAGUGAGCGGAUUUCUCAAACAGCUGUAAGAGUCUCAGUGAGGACCAGCCAGAGCUGGCAUUCAGGAGGCUCGCUCUGGGCUGCCCGAGGGUAGACAGAUGCACACAGAACGUCUUUGCACCUCACCGUGGCUCUCUGAGGGCACGCCUACAUGUCAGAGCACACGCAUCCCUACCCCACGCUUGUUUGCUGGCUGCCGUGGAGAUCUGCCUUCGGGACGACACUGGCCUUGCUCGUGGAGGUUCCUGUCUGCCUUUAAAUGGCCUGAUUGUCCAAGGCGGAGAAAGGCCAGCUCACCUUUGAAAGAGGCCACUCACCAGGCAAAACCAAGGUGGCCUGAGCUUGGGGCAGCGAAACAGGGCAGACAAUGAAUCCAUUAGAAGCGGUUGGGAGGUACAGGGGCUGUGAGAACUUGGCUUUCUUGCAAGACGACAGGGAGCCAAGUCACACUGGGACAGAAGUUUCCGUGUCUUUUUAUCUGCCAUCAGAGCCAACAGCCCGGGAGCUGAAGGACUUCAGAAAUCAAGGGCAUCUCAC
rnacentral:lncRNA from 1 species